rnacentral:rRNA from 1 species
GAUGAACGCUGGCGGCGUGCUUAAUACAUGCAAGUCGAGCGAACAGACGAGGCUUGUGCUGUUGUGUAGUUAGCGGCGGAUGGGUGAUUAAUACGUGACUUACCUAUAUAUAAGACUUGAGUAACGUCGGGAAACCGUAGCUCAUACUGCGUAAAAUCUCGAACCGCAGGGUUCAUGAGUGAAGGACGGUCUUGGUGAUACUUAUAGACGCGUCCGCGCUGCAUUAGCUAGAUGUUAAGGUAACGGCUUACCAAGGCAACGAUGCGUAGCCGACCUGAGAGGGUGAUGGGCCACACUGGAAGUGAGCCGCGGUCCAGACUCCUACGGGAGGCAGCAGUAGGGAAUCUUGCGCGAAGGGCGAAAGCCUGACGGAGCAGCGCCGCGUGAGUGAUGAAGGUCUUCGGAUCGGAAAACUCUGUUAUUAGGGAAGAACAUAUGUGUAAGUAACUAUGCACAUCUUGACGGUACCUAAUCAGAAAGCCACGGCUAACUACGUG